rnacentral:rRNA from 1 species
ACGAAGGGGGCUAGCGUUGCUCGGAUUGACUGGGCGUAAAGGGCGCGUAGGCGGUUUGCAUAGUCAGACGUGAGAUUCCUGGGCUUAACCUGGGGGCUGCGUUUGAUACAUGCAGGCUUGAGUUCGGAAGAGGGUCGUGGAAUUCCCAGUGUAGAGGUGAAAUUCGUAGAUAUUGGGAAGAACACCGGUGGCGAAGGCGGCGUUCUGGACUGCAACUGACACUGAGAAACGAAAGCCAGGGUAGCAAACGGGA